GUGUAUGGCCAUGCCACCCUGAGCAUGCCUGGUCUGAUCUUAGGAACUAAACAGGGUCAGGCCUGGUUAGAACUCUGAUGAAAGAAUUAGCUCAUUCCCCAGUUUUAUAUCUA
ensembl:rRNA 5S_rRNA 5S ribosomal RNA